rnacentral:rRNA from 1 species
AUUGAACGCUGGCGGCAGGCCUAACACAUGCAAGUCGGACGGUAGCACAGAGAGCUUGCUCUUGGGUGACGAGUGGCGGACGGGUGAGUAAUGUCUGGGGAUCUGCCCGAUAGAGGGGGAUAACCACUGGAAACGGUGGCUAAUACCGCAUAACGUCGCAAGACCAAAGAGGGGGACCUUCGGGCCUCUCACUAUCGGGUGAACCCAGAUGGGAUUAGCUAGUAGGCGGGGUAAUGGCCCACCUAGGCGACGAUCCCUAGCUGGUCUGAGAGGAUGACCAGCCCCACUGGAACUGAUACACGGUCCAGUCUCCUAGGGGAGGCAGCAGUGGGGAAUAUUGCACAAUGGGCGAAAGCCUGAUGCAGCCAUGCCGCGUGUAUGAAGAAGGCCUUCGGGUUGUAAAGUACUUUCAGCGGGGAGGAAGGCGGCAAGGUUAAUAACCUUGCCGAUUGACGUUACCCGCAGAAGAAGCACCGGCUAACUCCGUGCCAGCCGCCGCCGUAA